rnacentral:rRNA from 1 species
GACGAACGCUGGCGGCGUGCUUAACACAUGCAAGUCGAACGAAGUGGAGAACGGGUGAGUAACGCGUAAUCAACCUGCCCUUCAGAGGGGGACAACAGUUGGAAACGACUGCUAAUACCCGAUACUGAAGGAGGGGAUUGCGUCUGAUUCGCGGGUGGGCGGGGAAACGGCCCACCGAGGCGAUGAUAAGUAGCCGGGCUGAGAGGAUGGACGGCCGCAUUGGGACUGAGAAACGGCCCAGACUCCUACGGGAGGCAGGAGUAGGGAAUCUUCCGCAAUGGACGAAAGUCUGACGGAGCAACGCCGCGUGAGUGAUGACGGCCUUCGGGUUGUAAAGCUCUGUUAAUCGGGACGCGGUACCGGAAUAGAAAGCCACGGCUAACUACGUGCCAGCAGCCGCGGUAAUAC